AAUUCACGGUCUGCGUUAUAGCCAGGUCGCCACAUGGAUGACACGAUUCUUCGGCCGGAACGGAUCGGGAGCUCUGCUCUUUACUAUCCCUAAUCCUCUCUUUCCUCUCCGGGCUCCCUCUCCGGCCGUCUCGGAGCCGCCAUUCCGUUUCGUCCCAUUCACUUCUAAGCCGCCGCUUGCUUGGUUCAUCAACACUUCUCUUCUGCACACGCCAUUGUUUCGCCCCUUAUCCUCCUCCUCCUCCUUCGCCGCCACCAUGCCUGGAACUGGGACUACGGGAGUGGAGUGGCCAGCGAAGCGGGUCAGGGACACAUUCAUCAAGUUCUUCGAGGAGAAGAAUCACGUCAACUGGAAGUCUAGCCCUGUUGUUCCCCUCAAUGACCCAACCCUUCUCUUUGCGAAUGCUGGCAUGAACCAAUUCAAGCCAAUCUUUUUGGGAACUGUGGAUCCUAAUACUGGCUUGAGCAAACUCACUCGUGCUUGCAAUACCCAAAAGUGCAUACGAGCUGGUGGCAAACAUAAUGAUCUCGAUGAUGUAGGAAAAGAUACUUACCAUCAUACCUUCUUUGAGAUGUUGGGCAAUUGGUCGUUUGGUGAUUACUUCAAAGAAGAAGCCAUUGGGUGGGCAUGGGAACUUCUGACAAAGGUUUAUAAAUUACCAACAGGUCAUCUUUAUGCGACAUAUUUUGGUGGUGAUGUUAAGUCUGGUCUUGCUCCUGAUAUUGAAGCUAGAGAUAUUUGGCUUAAGUUUUUGCCAGCUGGGCAUGUUCUUCCUUUUGGUAGUAAAGACAAUUUCUGGGAGAUGGGUGAUACUGGUCCUUGUGGACCUUGCACUGAGAUACAUUAUGACAGAAUAGGUAACCGUGAUGCGGCAUCCUUGGUCAAUAAUGAUGACCCUACAUGCAUUGAGAUUUGGAAUCUUGUGUUUAUUCAGUACAAUAGGGAGGCUGAUGGGUCUCUUAAACCUCUGCCCGCAAAACAUGUUGAUACAGGCAUGGGAUUUGAAAGAUUGACCUCCGUACUUCAGAAUAAAAUGAGCAAUUAUGACACUGAUGUCUUCUUGCCUGUCUUUGAUGCCAUUCAGCAGGCAACUGGUGCUCGGCCCUAUUCUGGAAAAGUUGGACCUGAUGAUGUUGACAAGGUUGACAUGGCAUACAGGGUUGUUGCAGAUCACAUCAGAACUCUGUCAUUUGCCAUUGCUGAUGGAUCUCGCCCUGGUAAUGAGGGUCGUGAGUAUGUCCUUAGGCGUAUACUCCGUCGAGCUGUUCGAUAUGGACGUGAAGUCUUAAAUGCUAGAGAUGGGUUUUUCAAUGGGCUUGUAAGUACUGUGGUCAAUGUAAUGGAUGAUGUUUUUCCGGAGCUAAAACACCAUGAAGUGCUUAUCAAGGAUGUCAUUAAGGAGGAGGAGGAAAGUUUUGGGAGAACCUUAAUUAAGGGGAUUGAGAAAUUUGAGAUGGCUGUUCGACAUGUUCAGGGAAAAAUAUUGAGUGGGCAGGAAGCCUUUAUCUUGUGGGAUACAUAUGGGUUCCCAUUGGAUCUCACUCAGCUGAUGGCGGAGGAAAAGGGUUUACUUGUUGAUGUUGAGGGUUUCAAUCUUGCCAUGGAAGAAGCAAGAGAGAGGUCACGAAAUGCUCAAACAAAGCAAGCUGGUGGUGUUAUUGUCAUGGAUGCUGAUGCUACUUCAGCAUUGCACAAAAGGGGCAUUUCUCCAACCGAUGAUAGCUUCAAGUUUGUUUGGUUCAAGAAUCAUGAGACUGUGGUGAGAGCAAUAUAUACAGGUUCUGAGUUCUUAGAUGCCGUUGACACUAAUGGUGAUGUUGGUGUUGUUCUGGAAUCUACAAGCUUUUAUGCUGAGCAAGGUGGUCAGAUUUUUGAUACAGGAUCACUUGAGGGUCCUCUUGCCAAAUUUCAAGUUAGUAAUGUGCAAGUUUAUGGAGGUUUUGUUCUUCACAUUGGGUCUUUGUGGGGAAUGACUGGCAGAAUCUCGGUUGGUGAUAAAGUAGCAUGCAAGGUUGAUUAUGAGAGGCGUGCCCUUAUAGCCCCUAACCAUACCUGCACACAUAUGUUGAACUUUGCUCUUCGGGAAGUACUUGGUAAUCAUGUUGACCAAAAAGGAUCUAUUGUUCUUCCUGAAAAAUUGAGAUUUGAUUUUUCUCAUGGCAACCCAGUUGAAGCUGACAAGUUGAGGAAAAUUGAAUCAAUUGUGAAUGAGCAAAUAGAAGCUGAAUUAGAUGUAUAUUCAAAGGAGGCAACUCUCAUUGAUGCCAAGCGUAUCAAUGGUUUACGAGCUGUUUUUGGCGAAGUCUACCCUGACCCAGUUAGGGUUGUGGCAAUUGGACAAAAAGUUGAGGAUCUCUUAGCUGAUCCAGAGAACGAAAAAUGGUUAUCUAUUUCAGCAGAAUUAUGCGGAGGGACCCACAUAUCGAAUACCCGAGAGGCUAAAGCUUUUGCACUUCUAUCUGAGGAGGGAAUUGCAAAAGGAACACGCAGGAUAAUAGCUGUCACAACUGGUUAUGCAUAUGACGCUAUGAAAUUGGCCAAUGAACUUGAGCAGGAGGUAGAUGAUGCAGCUAAGAUAGAAGGAAGUGCACUAGAAGAGAAAGUUUCUUAUCUGAAAAACCGUGUCGAAUCAAUAUCAAUACCUGCUGCUAAGAAAGCUGAUAUAAAGACCAAGAUUGCCCGACUUCAGGAUCAAGUGAGGAAAGCACAAAAGCAGAUUGCGGAGGAAAACAAACGGAAAGCUGUAAAGUUGACGACUGAGAAGGCUGAACUUGCUGCUUCAGAUGGAAAAUCUUUUUGCAUUUCUCGUGUUGAUGUUGGUCUGGAUGUAGUUGCAGUUCGAGAGGCGGUUGCAAAAGUCAUGGAGCAGAAGGAUUUAUCUGUGAUGGUUUUUAGCAUCGAUGAAACUACAAACAAGGCUGUGGUUUGUGCUGGGGUACCGGAGAAAGGGAAUAAAAGCAAGCUGGAUGUGUCGGAUUGGCUGAGUAAUGCUUUGGGACCUUUAAAAGGAAGGUGUGGCAGAGGAAAAGGUGGCCUUGCAACAGGACAGGUGUUACCUCAAUAGCUUCAGCGGCGGACUUGGACGAUUGAACUAGUGUCAGUUGAGAUGCUGUACUUCUAUUUGGCGACAUAUUGUGUUAUGAAGACGUUUGGUGUGGAUGCGUCACACAUAAAUGAGGCCAUGGAUCUAGCUGCGACAUUUGCGUCGAUGAAAUUGAGCUAAUCGAUCGUAUUGCUCUCUUCCUCUGGCUAAAGCAAUAUUUCAAAAGCUCUUGACACUUUUUUUAGGCUCAAUUGGCACAUAUAUAUACUGCCUAUUGGACUUUCCGUUGCAUAUUUUCUUGAAUUGUUGACCUUUUAUUGUGGGGGAAAUCUGAUAUAGUAUUUUUGUACGUAUAAAGAAAUCACAAACACGUUGAUCCGCCAGGUAGAUCUCAAUAUACUCUGAAAAUCGCCUAGCUGUCCUGUCAUUUUGUAGAGGCAUAAUCUUUUGUCGUGUCUGCUUGUGCAUCCUUGUACGUUUUUCAUUAAACUUGUAAUUGUUCAAUCAGCAUGACACAAGCAGCACUUAUUCUAUUACAUGUAACCUUAAAUUUACGUGGUUUUUGUACUUACGCUAAUAAUCAUGUUAUACAAUUUUUUUCCUCCUCAA